rnacentral:misc_RNA from 1 species
GUAGGUGAACCUGCGGAGGGAUCAUUACCGAAUGAGGGCCUCCGGGCUCGACCUCCAACCCUUUGUCGUACUAACCACAGUUGCCUCGGGGGCGACCCGGCCUCCGCGUCGGGGCCCCCGGUGGACCCAACCAAACAAUUCUGCGUCUUUGCGUCUGAGUAUUAAAGUAAAUCAAUUAAAACUUUCAACAACGGAUCUCUUGGUUCUG